UACGGGGGGGGCAAGCGUUGUUCGGAAUUACUGGGCGUAAAGGGCUCGUAGGCGGCCAACUAAGUCAGACGUGAAAUCCCUCGGCUUAACCGGGGAACUGCGUCUGAUACUGGAUGGCUUGAGGUUGGGAGAGGGAUGCGGAAUUCCAGGUGUAGCGGUGAAAUGCGUAGAUAUCAGGAGGAACACCAAUAGCGAAGGCAGCUCGCUGGGACGUUACUGACACUGAGGCGCGAAAGCGUGGGGAGCAAUCCGG
rnacentral:rRNA from 1 species